AACAAUACCAUUUUGGCAGAUUUACAUUGCAAAAGACUUAGAAUCUUAAAAAUCCCAU
rnacentral:tRNA from 1 species